UCGAGAGAGGUGUCCACAGAGGCGCUGUAAUUUUUCUAAUUGUUUGCAAGUUGUCCCAGAUUUUUAAGAUAAUCACAGGAGCCGCAAUUAAUUAAAAACCGAAUUAUUUUCUACACCGCUCGGUGCGAAUGCAGCGAGGCUUUGGAAAUUCCCUGUUCCACUUCCACCAAAAUUGGUUUCCUUUAAAAGGAAAAUGCUCAUUUUGGGAGGGAUCUUUUCUGCUUCAUACUUUCGAGUUGAAAUUUACCGUCCGGGCCGUUGGCCAUAUUUUGUUUUAGAUUAUCCGGAAGUGACCGCCGCCAUUUUGUGGUGAACCCUGACCGAUCCCUGGUUAUUCCGUUCUCCACUUGAGGAUACCCGGAGGCUUUCCACCCCGUCCGCGAAGACCGCACCGCCCCUUUUCCCAAGACUUAGGGGGUGCAGAUUAAGUCUUGGUGGCGCCCGAGUGACCGACCGACCGUCCCCGGUGUAAUAAUUGAAUUGUACAAUUAUAUUAUUGUUCGACAAUUAAAUGAACUUGAAAUAA